AAUGAACGCUGGCGGCAGGCCUAACACAUGCAAGUCGAGCGGAGCGGCGGACGGGUGAGUAAUGCCUAGGAAUCUGCCUGGUAGUGGGGGAUAACGUCCGGAAACGGGCGCUAAUACCGCAUACUAUCAGAUGAGACUAGGUCGGAUUAGCUAGGUGGUGGGGUAAAGGCCUAACAAGGCGACGAUCCGAAACUGGCCUGAGAGGAUGAUCAGGCACACUGGAACUGAGACACGGUCCAGACUCCUACGGGAGGCAGCAGUGGGGAAUAUUGGACAAUGGGCGAAAGCCUGAUCCAGCCAUGCCGCGGGGGUGAAGAAGGUCUUCGGAUUGUAAAGCUCUUUCAGCGGGGAGGCGUUACCCGCAGAAGAAGCACCGGCUAACUCCGUGCCAGCAGCCGCGGUAAUAC
rnacentral:rRNA from 1 species